rnacentral:rRNA from 1 species
AUUGAACGCUGGCGGCAGGCCUAACACAUGCAAGUCGAACGAGUGGCGGACGGGUGAGUAAUGUCUGGGAAACUGCCCGAUGGAGGGGGAUCACUACUGGAAACGGUAGCUCAUACCCCAUACCCUCCGAUGUGCCCAUAUGGGAUUAGCUAGUAGGUGGGGUAACGGCUCACCUAGGCGACGACCCCUAGCUGGUCGGAGAGGAUGACCAGCCACACUGGAACUGAGAAACGGUCCAGACUCCUACGGGAGGCAGCAGGGGGGAAUAUUGCACAAUGGGCGCAAGCCUGAUGCAGCAAUGCCGCGGGUAUGAAGAAGGCCUUCGGGUUGUAAAGUACUUUCAGCGAGGAGGCGUUACCCGCAGAAGAAGCACCGGCUAACUCCGUGCCAGCAGCCGCGGUAAUUC